UGACAAUGAUGACAAUGAUGACAUGUGGAGCCUUCUGUUCUACAGGAAAACCCAUUGUUUAUUUCCUGAGAAGAAGCUUCUGCCUAUUGUUGCUGAAUAUGUAGACAGUGAAGCAUUGAGCCCCAUAAUUUCUAAUAAGCUUCGUGCAGGCUAUGGGAAGGCUCACAAUGUUGCUGCUCUGCCUCUUUGUCCUCUCUGGCAUUCAACAGGAGGAGCACAGGCUGCCUCCUAACCAUAUCAGAGGACGAUGUCUCUGCCGCCGGAGUAGAGAAGAACGAAGACAUCGAGACAGGGUGAGCAACUGACUGCCCGUGCAAUUCAUUUAUCAAUCAUAAAACAUGUUAGAAAUUUAAGAAUUUUCGUCUACUAUUUGUUUCAUUACCUAUGGGUUUCAGUAAGUACUGGAUAUUUUUCACCACACCUGAACACUGAACAGCCAUAUUAUCGGCCACCUGUUCUCCAUCACCGGUACUCUGAUAACAAGGCUUAUAAAGCGUGAGCGAGAGCUAGAAACGACGCCUCAGAAUAAUCGUUGGGCAUUUAAAAGGGUAGCCUACAGUUUUUUUGUAAGUAUGCUUUAACAUAAGGCUCAUCAUUGUUUUGGUGGAAUCAUACUUUGGUGGUGGAGGUAUUCUUUUGGUUGUACUCCCAUUUUAUUUUUAUUAUCACAUUGUAGGUUUUACCUGCUCUUCGUAUAUUAUCAUUACUAGAAUACCACAUUCUUUAUUUUGAGUUAAAUUUGAUUUACUUUUCUGAAAUGGUACAUUGCAAGCACUGUGCACCUUCGCUAGACUGUCGACAAGUGAGAGAAACAUCGCUUUCCUAUGUUUAGAAGAUAAUUUAGCACAGUUUCAUCAUGAAUAAAGUGCUCCACCAGUGAGUUUUUCUGUCAUCAGGGACCCAGGGAAAUGUGCAAAGCCCUCCCUCCCUACCCCGGAACCCUGCCCAUAACAGCUGGUACUGAUUCUAAUGGUGGUGCCACCAGAUUGCUUCCGUUGCGAGGUGUAGGCCUGCAGUAUUUGAACAAGUUAACUUUGUAAGUGCUAAGCAAUUGGCUGGUUUAGCAUUGGAAGAAAUAGGGUCUAGAGGAUUAGUGGAAACUUGCAUCCUACCUUGUGAGUGUCCACCGUAUGUGCGCAGACACACAUUGAUUCACGGCCGAGCUACAAUGAUCUGCUACUUUUCCCAAUUUCAUGACACAAGACCUAUUAUAUGAUGGAGUUCUAUAUGUAAGAAUAGAGGCAUGAAAUAAAUAUACAGGUUUUUUUUAUGAUCAACGCUGCUAUAGCUGUCAUGUAAUGGAAGAAAUAUCAUGUUUUGUCGCUUUUGACAUGCCAUGUUACCGCCGCUGUUUGAUAGGAUUCCACUUUGAUUAUGUUUAUGGCUGGACUAUUCUUAAAUAUCAGCAGUCACAGGGGAUCAAUCUUCGACCACGUGGUAUUGCCAGUAUAUGUGGUGCUAAAUGUCUGGUAGAUGUUCCAGUUCUGGUGUUUUACGUCGCUGCAGCAGGACAUCUCGGAAACAUGUCUCCAAUUGCAAGUUUUUAGGUAGAUGUUCCUAUUCUGGUGUCGAGAAUUAAAUGCAAGGAUACCAUGUAAUAUUAACUGUAUAUCAUUUCCAUGUAUUUGAUACAAAGAAGUUUUAGAAAUGGAUUGUUGCUUAUUC